AUUGAACGCUGGCGGCAGGCCUAACACAUGCAAGUCGAACGAGUGGCGGACGGGUGAGUAAUGUCUGGGAAUCUGCCUGGUGGGGGGGGAAAACUACUGAACAGUGUAGCUAAUACCGUAUUACCUCAUAUGUGCCCAGAUGGGAUUAGCUAGUUGGUGGGGUAACGGCUCACCAAGGCGACGAUCCCUAGCUGGUCUGAGAGGAUGACCAGCCACACUGGAACUGAGACACGGUCCAGACUCCUACGGGAGGCAGCAGUGGGGAAUAUUGCACAAUGGGCGCAAGCCUGAUGCAGCCAUGCCGCGUGUAUGAAGAAGGCCUUCGGGUUGUAAAGUACUUUCAGCGGGGAGGCGUUACCCGCAGAAGAAGCACCGGCUAACUCCGUGCCAGCCGCCGCGGUAAUUC
rnacentral:rRNA from 1 species